AGCAGCCGCGGUAAUUCCAGCUCCAAUAGCGUAUAUUAAAGUUGUUGCAGUUAAAAAGCUCGUAGUUGAACUUCGGGAUCAAGGGAUCGGUCAUGCUUUUGUAUGUACUGGUCUUAUUGGUUCUCACCUUCUAAAGAACCAUAAUGUCAUUCAUUUGAUGUUAUGGGGAAUUAGGACUGUUACCUUGAAAAAAUUAGAGUGUUUAAAGCAGGCUUACGCUUGAAUACAUUAGCAUGGAAUAAUGAAAUAGGACAUCCGAUUCUAUUUUGUUGGUUUCUAGGAUCGAUGUAAUGAUUAAUGGGGAUAGUUGGGGGCAUUAGUAUUCAAUUGUCAGAGGUGAAAUUCUUGGAUUUAUUGAAGACUAACUACUGCGAAAGCAUUUGCCAAGGAUGUUUUCAUUAAUCAAGAACGAAAGUUAGGGGAUCGAAGACGAUCAGAUACCGUCGUAGUCUUAACCAUAAACUAUGCCGACUAGGGAUCGGAUGAUGUUAAUUUUAAUGA
rnacentral:rRNA from 1 species